UUGAGAGUUGAUUCUGUUCCUAUUUUUCAUUCAUAUCAUGCCCAAAAAAUGUAUCAUCAUCUAAUUAACUCUUUUGAACACUAUGAAUGCUCUAUUUUUUGAGUGAAUGAUUUUCGUUGCUGUUUACACAUAUAAUAUCAGUUUUGUGUGACGAAAGGAAACGCAACUUGAUAAGAACGUGGCAAAGAACCGUGACUCUGUUUAUAUGGUGAAUGCGGCAAUUUAUUCAUUCUGGAAACAUGUACCUUCACAAGCAUCGGUGGUUCAGUGGUAGAAUGUUCGCCUGCCACGCGGGAGUUAAUUCCAUUAAUUGUACAUAUGCAAUUUUUAAAGGAAAUAAAACGAUUGAGAACAAUGACAAAGCUGAAUUCGUGAACGAUGUGCUUUAUUGAACUCUUUGAAACUGAACUAAAGUAAAUGUGCAUGUUACAACUAUUUAUAAGAAUUUGGCUUAUCAAUAUUCGUGCUCAAAUAUGAUCAUGCAUUGAUUUAGAAAAAUGUAUAUUUGUGUAUGAAUAGUGUGCAUUGUUUAAGAAAAACUUAAUUAACUCAUGUGAAUGCGGUGUUACAAUAAUUUCAUUAUUUCGAAUAUUGGUCAUUCACAAUUUGUCAAGGUAUUCUUUUUAAUCCAGAAAUCCCUUCCUUUUCGAUCAAACAUUCAAUUUCCUGAAUCAAACCUAAUGUUUUUGUAACGACAAGUGACGGCAAUUCAAAAUCGUGCUCAGAUGUCUAUUGUGCCCAAAUACAAUUCGUAAUUCGAUACUUUAAUUGAUCGAAAUAAUAUCAAUUUACAUUGUCAAUCAUUGAUUAUGUAACCAUUGAAGUUUCACAUCAACUGUGACGGCUAAAAUAUCGUCUGUGAAUCUUUCGUGUGACACAAUUGUUUUCUUUCUUCAUCAAGUAAUAAAUUAAAUUUUGAAAAAUCGAAAUAUUGCCAAAAAUCGUUGAUAAGGAUUUCGUUUAGUUUUGAAGAGUUUCGUGUUCUUCCAGAAAAAAGGAUUUUCCAAGGUUGUUGUGCCAAUUACAUCAAGGCCAAGAUGAAUGGGUUAGAUAGUUGCAACAAAAAAAUGCAAGAGCUGAGAACACUACUAACUGAAGUCAAUAAAAUAGCUUACACAGUUCAAAGCACCUCUACCUAUGCACAAAACAACUAUGCAUCUUCUGCGGUUCGUGACAUCCAACGGCGCAGCAGAGAUAGGGAAUAUGAAUGGGGCUUCAAAAGGGUUCAAAAAGAAUUGGAUCGUGUUCAAGAGCUGAAUCAUCAUAUGCUAGAGAAGCUAGAGAGGCUCAAAAGAAUCACUGAAAAGAAAACCAACCAGAAUUACUAUUCUAGUCACAUUCAAUGAACUCUGUUGUUUUGAUUCGUGUUUGACCAAUUUGUGUAACGUAUUAUAACAUUUUUGGAAAAUAAUUCAACACAAAAAAUUCAUUUUCAAAAAAUUCACUUUCAAAAAUUAAUCAUUCUGAAUAUUGUUCAUACAUCACUAUCUGUGUGAUGGUGCGUGUCAAAAUAUAUCGAUGAGAAACUAAAACCAAUGCAUUUCAUUUCGCAUUCUCUCGAACGCAUCACACAGAAAGAAUCUAAGGAAUGACAACAUAACAACAGUUGCCAAUAGAAAUCAAUAGAAUUCCGAUGGAUAGUGGCAGUUACAACAGAAAAUUAAGAGAAUUGAGAAGCUUAGUUGUGGAAGCUGAUGCAUCGGUUCAUUGUGCCCAAAUAUACGCCACUCAUGUGCGGAAAAACUAUGUGUCUUCCUUGAAUCGCAAUAUUCCGCGCCAUGAAGAUAGAGAAAAUAAAUGGAUCAUCAGAAUGAUUGCAAAAGAGUUGGAACAUGUUCAAGAGCUAAAUAAUCUAAUGCAAGAGAGCUUGAAUAAUUUCACACAAAAAUAGAUCAAUCGUUUUUAGGAAAGAAAAAUACAUGUAUAGCUAGAUAAAAAUGGUGCAGUUUUGAAAAUAAAUUAACUCUUAUUUGUGAAAUA